UGGUUGCUGGGAUUUUGAACUUCAGACCUUU
rnacentral:piRNA from 1 species